rnacentral:lncRNA from 1 species
GCUUGGUGGGUGUGUUUGAGCGCAGACUGCGCGGGGCAGGCGAGCGGAUGGCCGGAGCUCAUCGCUAUACAGCGGGUUGAGUCGACCGUAAGAGCGGCGGCUCAGAGGAUGUUGUGGCUCGGGGUCGGCUUAAUACAGGGCGACACCGUCCCAGACCGAGAUGAACUCGGAGCGAGGCGGAGGCGCAUCACCAGCAUGGUAGGGCAGCUUGCGACGAAGCCAGCAGCAGUCGCGACGAGACCGAGUCUGCCUCUGAAUAGUGGUCUUUCUUCCAAUAGCUUCAUGUACGCGAUGUUUGAUACUGGACGCUGUUUUUGCUUUUAAUUUGAUAUGAGGGAACAGUCGCCUUAUCUUGUCGGGACGCUGUAGUUCUUUGUAGCUUUGGGAUUUG